rnacentral:rRNA from 1 species
GCAAGUCGAGCGGAACGAGUUAUCUGAACCUUCGGGGAACGAUAACGGCGUCGAGCGGCGGACGGGUGAGUAAUGCCUAGGAAAUUGCCCUGAUGUGGGGGAUAACCAUUGGAAACGAUGGCUAAUACCGCAUGAUGCCUACGGGCCAAAGAGGGGGACCUUCGGGCCUCUCGCGUCAGGAUAUGCCUAGGUGGGAUUAGCUAGUUGGUGAGGUAAGGGCUCACCAAGGCGACGAUCCCUAGCUGGUCUGAGAGGAUGAUCAGCCACACUGGAACUGAAACACGGUCCAGACUCCUACGGGAGGCAGCAGUGGGGAAUAUUGCACAAUGGGCGCAAGCCUGAUGCAACCUUGCUUCGUGUGUGAAGAAGGCCUUCGG